UACGUAGGUGGCAAGCGUUGUCCGGAUUUACUGGGCGUAAAGGAUGCGUAGGCGGACAUUUAAGUCAGAUGUGAAAUACCCGAGCUUAACUUGGGUGCUGCAUUUGAAACUGGGUGUCUAGAGUGCAGGAGAGGUAAGUGGAAUUCCUAGUGUAGCGGUGAAAUGCGUAGAGAUUAGGAAGAACACCAGUGGCGAAGGCGACUUACUGGACUGUAACUGACGCUGAGGCAUGAAAGCAUGGGGAGCAAACAGG
rnacentral:rRNA from 1 species